CCCUUUUUCAGGCAGUCGUCGAACAGCUCGCAGCAGCGAAAGAGGAAGGCAAAAAGUUGGUCGCGAGACGAAAAAUCCCAGAAUUUCACCAGCGUUUGGAAAAGUGUUUUGCAGCUGGCCGAGGAAGGAAAAAAAAAGUGAAAUCCCGCAGAUCGUUUUCCGGAAUAUCAGGUCCCCAAGAUGUGCGGUGGUUUUAGCUGCUCCAAAAAUGCGCUCAUUUCGCUCAACAUCCUUUAUGUCAUGGUCGGCUUCCUGCUGAUUGGGGUCGGAGUUUACGGACGCGCCGCCUCAAUCGUGACCAACCUGCCCAUCAUCGGUGGCAUUCUGGCCUGCGGAGUGAUCCUGAUUCUGAUCUCGGUACUUGGCCUGAUCGGCGCCGUCAAGCACCACCAAGUGAUGCUGUUCUUCUACAUGAUCAUUCUGUUUAUGCUGUUCCUGAUCCAAUUCUCGAUCGCUUGCUCCUGCCUGGCCGUUAACCCGGAACAGCAGCGCCAGUUUGCCGAGCAAGGGUGGUCGCUGGCACCGGCCGACCUCAAGCAGCAGGUGCAGGAGGAGUUCCUGUGCUGUGGAUUUAACGCCACCACCACCGAGGAUCAUCCGUCGUGCGCGCAGGUUAAUCUAAAAUGCUGCCCGGACGGAGCGCCCGAAACGUGCCAGUGUUCGCCGUGCAUGCCGAAGCUGGAAAGCACCAUCGAUUACGCGUUCCACCUGUCCGGCGGAAUUGGGCUGUUCUUCAGCUUCACCGAGUUUGUCGGUGUUUGGCUGACCGUGCGCUACCGCAACCAGAAAGACCCCCGUGGCAACCCGAGUGCUUUCCUAUAAGAUUGGGACGAUCCCGUAACGGAGCUUUAAGAAGUGAUCGUUUUAUUUCAGUUGUUUUUUAUUUGAAUUUUUGAGCCUUCUUUUUUUUGGUUUACCCAACCUAUCUUGGGAAUUAAGUUUAGCACAGCGAAUUUAGAGGGACUCCGCAAAACAGAAAAAGAGCGAGAAAAAGGGGCAGAUUUCCGUUUCGUUGAUCAUCGCGGUCGUGCUGACGCGCCGCUACCGCAACCAGCAGGACCCGGACCACCUUCCGGCGCGGGCCAUCUUCCCCCAGAGCAACUACGUGUACUGAGUGUGUCGAGAGGUCGAAUUUUGCUGAAAUUAAGAAAGAACAAGCGAAAAAAAAAACAACAGUUUCCAGGGAGAGUCAGACUGCCUAUUGGUUAAUGCUAAGUUUAGGACUGCUGAAAGUGGGGAGGGAAGAAGGAGGGGUUCUCGAAUUUUUCUGUAGGGGGAAAACACAACAAAACCAAAAUCGUGAAUACUCAGUUUUUUUUUUGUUUUGGUGCGCGCUCCAAUAGAUUUAUACCUUCAAAGAGAAAUGUGGUUGUGCUAAAUCUUAAUUUUUGGUUUGAUUUACCUUGCUAUUUUUUUAAGUUCAGCUUUUACUCGUUGGAUUCAGGUUUAGGUAAACAAAAUAGAGCGUUUUAAUUUCUGAUUUGUGAAAAGAACAAAAAACAACAUGUCAUGCUUCAACCUAAGCCUAGAUUUUAAGUAGCAUGUUUUCAAAUCAUUACUUGUGGAAGAGUAUAUUUUAGAAAAUUGUGAUAGCUAUAAUAAUUUUACAUUAAAAUCUUGUGAAUAAUGAAGUUUCCAGCGUCCCAAAAAAGCGUUGGAUUUUUCCUUGAUCUUAUUCCAUCUCGUUUAAAACAAAGUCACAAACAAACAGACGUAAGUCAUUAAACGAUUUCGUCUGAUAAUCCAUUGACCACUUCUCACUAGAGCCACCUAGUUGUGAACUCGCCACGGAAGGUGACAUUCUGUGCGUAUGGUGAAUUCGAAAUUGCCGUGGUGAGUUCUUUCAAAUUGGCAGUUAAAUUGUUGGUUGAUGGAUUUUGAAAGAGACUUACGUUUGUUUGUCUGUGACCAAACUGACCAACAACUCGUAGCAGAACGUAACGGAAACGUGAAUCUAAAAUAUCGGUAUAACCUUUGCAUGAGAUGUGUAUACGUAAAGACAGCUAAAUAAAACUUUUAUUUCGCCUAAACACGCAGCUAAAUUCACACCACAUAACCGUCAAGUGUGUCUACAAAUCAGCUAAAUUCUCAUCAUAAAAUAGUUAAAGCAAAACAAUGCAAUUUAUGUGUGCAGCUUGAAAACCCGAAUUUAUUUUGCUCAAUUUUGUUUAAAAUCACCACACAUGCAAUAUGUAAAAAGAGUUGAAAAAAUGACAACUUCACCACACUAUUUAUUGAUGCACUGGAAAAAGUUGACAAAGUUAAGCCGUAAUAAUUCUCGACAAUCGCAUGUAAAUUUGCUGAAUUAUAUACCACUCGAAAAACUAUUCGAAAGUGAACGUUUGAUUUCAAAAUUUUGCAAUAGAAAAAGAGGUUUAUUUAACACUUGGAAAAUAUCACACUGAAACAAAUUUUAACCUGUAAUAACGUGAUGUAAGGCUAAAGACUAUGUGUAACUAAACUAAAAUCUAUUGAAAUAAAUAAAAGAUGCGAUCGCCACUCUCUGCACACAGGAAAACAGACGAGAAAAAAAACUGCCGUUUCAAAUGCAAACUAGUUCGGCGCGAUGCUUGGAAAAAUGCUCACCAGAUUGCGCUAGUGUUUUGACGUUCGCUGCGCGCCCUGGUCUCGUCUGUUUGUCUGUGCUUUGUGGUUGAACUGCGGUAAUAAUAGAAGCUAAAAUAGUAAAUAAACCAUUCAUAUAUAGCGGACUGUGAGCAUAGACUAAAAA